GAUGAACGCUGGCGGCGUGCCUAAUACAUGCAAGUCGAGCGAACAGAUAAGGAGCUUGCUCCUUUGACGUUAGCGGCGGACGGGUGAGUAACACGUGGGUAACCUACCUAUAGGACUGGGAUAACUUCGGGAAACCGGAGCUAAUACCGGAUAACAUUUGGAACCGCAUGGUUCUAAAGUGAAAGAUGGUUUUGCUAUCACUUAUAGAUGGACCCGCGCCGUAUUAGCUAGUUGGUAAGGUAACGGCUUACCAAGGCAACGAUACGUAGCCGACCUGAGAGGGUGAUCGGCCACACUGGAACUGAGACACGGUCCAGACUCCUACGGGAGGCAGCAGUAGGGAAUCUUCCGCAAUGGGCGAAAGCCUGACGGAGCAACGCCGCGUGAGUGAUGAAGGGUUUCGGCUCGUAAAACUCUGUUAUUAGGGAAGAACAAAUGUGUAAGUAACUGUGCACGUCUUGACGGUACCUAAUCAGAAAGCCACGGCUAACUACGUG
rnacentral:rRNA from 1 species